rfam:Lupinus angustifolius cultivar Tanjil chromosome LG13, whole genome shotgun sequence.
GAUUCCAUAACUCAAUGGUUAGAGCACUUGUUUAGUAAGUGGGAGGUCUUGAGUUCAACUCUCAAUGAAAGCA